rnacentral:rRNA from 1 species
AGAACGAACGCUGGCGGCAUGCCUAAUACAUGCAAGUCGAACGAACACUUCGGUGUUAGUGGCGCACGGGUGCGUAACGCGUGGGAAUCUGCCCUUGGGUUCGGAAUAACAGUUGGAAACGACUGCUAAUACCGGAUGAUAUCGAAAGAUCAAAGAUUUAUCGCCCAGGGAUGAGCCCGCGUAGGAUUAGCUAGUUGGUGAGGUAAAGGCUCACCAAGGCGACGAUCCUUAGCUGGUCUGAGAGGAUGAUCAGCCACACUGGGACUGAGACACGGCCCAGACUCCGUACGGGAGGCAGCAGUAGGAUA